AUCUGGUCGUUAGCUUUGAAACAAACAUUCAGCGGCGCAAAAACCGUCGAUAUUGCGUCGUAUUGUGCUGCGAGCAUUUUCAAUGAAGGCUACUCCAGUAUCCUCAAAAUGAUGGACGUUAUGAACAUCAAAAUUGGACCAAACGCCUUCAAUUUAUGCAACACCGUGGACGAGCGCAGAAUAUCACAAGCAAACGAACGGUCGUUCGACGCUUCAAAAGAAGGAAGAAUCGAAAGAAGAACGGCACGAUCGGCACUCGAAGAGGAUUUCCUUGAAGAAGAAGGUGUACUAUAUGAAGCAGGAAUGGGCGAUUAAUGAUCACCCAGACGUGAGAUUUCAUGUACACCGUUUGGGCAC